rnacentral:rRNA from 1 species
CUUGCUUCUCUUGAGAGCGGCGGACGGGUGAGUAAUGCCUAGGAAUCUGCCUGGUAGUGGGGGAUAACGUCCGGAAACGGACGCUAAUACCGCAUACGUCCUACGGGAGAAAGCAGGGGACCUUCGGGCCUUGCGCUAUCAGAUGAGCCUAGGUCGGAUUAGCUAGUUGGUGGGGUAAUGGCUCACCAAGGCGACGAUCCGUAACUGGUCUGAGAGGAUGAUCAGUCACACUGGAACUGAGACACGGUCCAGACUCCUACGGGAGGCAGCAGUGGGGAAUAUUGGACAAUGGGCGAAAGCCUGAUCCAGCCAUGCCGCGUGUGUGAAGAAGGUCUUCGGAUUGUAAAGCACUUUAAGUUGGGAGGAAGGGCAGUAAAUUAAUACUUUGCUGUUUUGACGUUACCGACAGAAUAAGCACCGGCUAACUCUGUGCCAGCAGCCGCGGUAAUACAGAGGGUGCAAGCGUUAAUCGGAAUUACUGGGCGUAAAGCGCGCGUAGGUGGUUCGUUAAGUUGGAUGUGAAAUCCCCGGGCUCAACCUGGGAACUGCAUUCAAAACUGACGAGCUAGAGUAUGGUAGAGGGUGGUGGAAAUUUCCUGUGUAGCGGUGAAAUGCGUA